rnacentral:rRNA from 1 species
GGUUAAGCGACUAAGCGUACACGGUGGAUGCCCUGGCAGUCAGAGGCGAUGAAGGACGUGCUAAUCUGCGAAAAGCGUCGGUAAGGUGAUAUGAACCGUUACAGCCGGCGAUGUCCGAAUGGGGAAACCCAGUGCAAUUCGUUGCACUAUCGUUAACUGAAUACAUAGGUUAACGAGGCGAACCGGGGGAACUGAAACAUCUAAGUACCCCGAGGAAAAGAAAUCAACCGAGAUUCCCCCAGUAGCGGCGAGCGAACGGGGAGCAGCCCAGAGUCUGAAUCAGCUUGUGUGUUAGUGGAACGGUCUGGAAAGUCCGACGGUACAGGGUGAUAGUCCCGUACACCAAAAUGCACAGGCUGUGAACUCGAAGAGUAGGGCGGGACACGUGGUAUCCUGUCUGAAUAUGGGGGGACCAUCCUCCAAGGCUAAAUACUCCUGACUGACCGAUAGUGAACCAGUACCGUGAGGGAAAGGCGAAAAGAACCCCGGCGAGGGGAGUGAAAAAGAACCUGAAACCGUGUACGUACAAGCAGUGGGAGCACCUUCGGGUGUGACUGCGUACCUUUUGUAUAAUGGGUCAGCGACUUAUAUUCUGUAGCAAGGUUAACCGUAUAGGGGAGCCGCAGGGAAACCGAGUCUUAACUGGGCGUUAAGUUGCAGGGUAUAGACCCGAAACCCGGUGAUCUAGCCAUGGGCAGGUUGAAGGUUGGGUAACACUAACUGGAGGACCGAACCGACUAAUGUUGAAAAAUUAGCGGAUGACUUGUGGCUGGGGGUGAAAGGCCAAUCAAACCGGGAGAUAGCUGGUUCUCCCCGAAAGCUAUUUAGGUAGCGCCUCGUGAACUCAUCUUCGGGGGUAGAGCACUGUUUCGGCUAGGGGGUCAUCCCGACUUACCAACCCGAUGCAAACUACGAAUACCGAAGAAUGUUAUCACGGGAGACACACGGCGGGUGCUAACGUCCGUCGUGAAGAGGGAAACAACCCAGACCGCCAGCUAAGGUCCCAAAGUCAUGGUUAAGUGGGAAACGAUGUGGGAAGGCACAGACAGCCAGGAUGUUGGCUUAGAAGCAGCCAUCAUUUAAAGAAAGCGUAAUAGCUCACUGGUCGAGUCGGCCUGCGCGGAAGAUGUAACGGGGCUAAACCAUGCACCGAAGCUGCGGCAGCGACACUAUGUGUUGUUGGGUAGGGGAGCGUUCUGUAAGCCUGCGAAGGUGUGCUGUGAGGCAUGCUGGAGGUAUCAGAAGUGCGAAUGCUGACAUAAGUAACGAUAAAGCGGGUGAAAAGCCCGCUCGCCGGAAGACCAAGGGUUCCUGUCCAACGUUAAUCGGGGCAGGGUGAGUCGACCCCUAAGGCGAGGCCGAAAGGCGUAGUCGAUGGGAAACAGGUUAAUAUUCCUGUACUUGGUGUUACUGCGAAGGGGGGACGGAGAAGGCUAUGUUAGCCGGGCGACGGUUGUCCCGGUUUAAGCAUGUAGGCUGAUUAUCCAGGCAAAUCCGGAUAAUCAAGGCUGAGGUGUGAUGACGAGGCACUACGGUGCUGAAGUAACAAAUGCCCUGCUUCCAGGAAAAGCCUCUAAGCAUCAGGUAACAUUAAAUCGUACCCCAAACCGACACAGGUGGUCAGGUAGAGAAUACCAAGGCGCUUGAGAGAACUCGGGUGAAGGAACUAGGCAAAAUGGUGCCGUAACUUCGGGAGAAGGCACGCUGGUGUGUAGGUGAAGUCCCUGCGGAUGGAGCUGAGACCAGUCGAAGAUACCAGCUGGCUGCAACUGUUUAUUAAAAACACAGCACUGUGCAAACACGAAAGUGGACGUAUACGGUGUGACGCCUGCCCGGUGCCGGAAGGUUAAUUGAUGGGGUUAUCCGUAAGGAGAAGCUCUUGAUCGAAGCCCCGGUAAACGGCGGCCGUAACUAUAACGGUCCUAAGGUAGCGAAAUUCCUUGUCGGGUAAGUUCCGACCUGCACGAAUGGCGUAAUGAUGGCCAGGCUGUCUCCACCCGAGACUCAGUGAAAUUGAACUCGCUGUGAAGAUGCAGUGUACCCGCGGCAAGACGGAAAGACCCCGUGAACCUUUACUAUAGCUUGACACUGAACAUUGAGCCUUGAUGUGUAGGAUAGGUGGGAGGCUUUGAAGCGUGGACGCCAGUCUGCGUGGAGCCAACCUUGAAAUACCACCCUUUAAUGUUUGAUGUUCUAACGUUGGCCCCUGACCGGGGUUGCGGACAGUGUCUGGUGGGUAGUUUGACUGGGGCGGUCUCCUCCCAAAGCGUAACGGAGGAGCACGAAGGUUAGCUAAUCCUGGUCGGACAUCAGGAGGUUAGUGCAAUGGCAUAAGCUAGCUUGACUGCGAGCGUGACGGCGCGAGCAGGUGCGAAAGCAGGUCAUAGUGAUCCGGUGGUUCUGAAUGGAAGGGCCAUCGCUCAACGGAUAAAAGGUACUCCGGGGAUAACAGGCUGAUACCGCCCAAGAGUUCAUAUCGACGGCGGUGUUUGGCACCUCGAUGUCGGCUCAUCACAUCCUGGGGCUGAAGUAGGUCCCAAGGGUAUGGCUGUUCGCCAUUUAAAGUGGUACGCGAGCUGGGUUUAGAACGUCGUGAGACAGUUCGGUCCCUAUCUGCCGUGGGCGCUGGAGAAUUGAGGGGGGCUGCUCCUAGUACGAGAGGACCGGAGUGGACGCAUCACUGGUGUUCGGGUUGUCAUGCCAAUGGCACUGCCCGGUAGCUAAAUGCGGAAGAGAUAAGUGCUGAAAGCAUCUAAGCACGAAACUUGCCCCGAGAUGAGUUCUCCCUGAGACUUUAAGUCUCCUGAAGGAACGUUGAAGACGACGACGUUGAUAGGCCGGGUGUGUAAGCGCAGCGAUGCGUUGAGCUAACCGGUACUAAUGAACCGUGAGGCUUAACCUU